AAAUAAGUCCCUACCCGUGUUUCAUGCUUAUGUGGCUCAAUUUUUACAUAAUCAUCAUUUCCAAGUGUAUUUUUUCUUUUUUCUUUUAUUCCAAGUGUAUUAAUAAUUUACAAUUUCAGACAAAUUUCCAGCACCAACUCCUUCAUCUUCUUCAUCAGCACAAAUUCUUCAUCUUUUUCCUCUGCACCCAUAAAUCCUUCAUGUCAAAGAAUGUUCAGCUUCUGCAACUACCACAAAUUCUUCAUCUUUUUCUUUUGCACUCUUCUCACAUAUUUUAGUGUUUUACCUCUACAAAACCCCAAUUUCCACUUUUAGGGUUCUAUUCAACUCUUAACAGAUUUGGAACAUAAAUUUCACACUUUUUUCUUCCACCAUGUCAAAGGUUUCAGAAGAAAAAGAUGGAUCUGAAAACCAGAAACUCUGUCGAUCCUUUCCCACACCAAUUGGGGCACAAAGCCGUUCUGGGAUCGGGUAUGACGCACACCGCGCCACCGCCAUGCUUGGGCAGGUGCGACGCUCGCGCCACCGCCAUCCUUUUCCUAUGCACGCGCCACCGCCAUGCUUGGACGGGGGCGACGACCUGGCUGCUGGCAAACUCGACGAGGCACUCCGAUUGAACUGUUUGUGGAUCUAUUUCUUCAUUAUUGUUUCAGAUCCAACAUUUUCAUUCGGUAAAACCCAUGAGAAUUAAACAUAGCGGGUGGUUUUUUUUGCAAUUGCAAUCUCUGGAUUUGCAUCUGAGUGGAAGGGAGAUGAGAUGGGUUUGCUGAGGGUGGGGGUGGGUUUAUGGGUUUGGUGGUUGCUCUUUUGAAGGCACAACAAUCAUUCAGUUUCUGGGUUCUGUUCUGGGUUAGGAAGAGUUCUUUCUGUGCAGGAUGGUUAAAAUGAAGAACAAAGAUCAAGGAUGAUGAAAUACUAGUUAUUCCCACUGUUGCAGACAGUCCAUUAGUGCUUAAUACACCACAACCAAGUAUAUUGCUUCAUAUUCUUUCCCACAGCCAAAUAACAGUAGUAAUUUGGAAUCUUCUGAACUUUUAAAAGAGAAGACAUAUCAUGGACAAUCCUAGAAGUAGAAUGUGGAUGGGCUAUGAUAGAGUUAGUAAAGAAUAUUUAGAUGGAGUGGAAUCAUUUUUAGACCAUGCAUUUCGGGAGAGCAAUGGAGAAACAAUUCCAUGUCCUUGUAAGAAAUGUGUGCUACACUAUGUAGUUAAUUGAGCAAUGGCUUAUGAACACCUAGUGGUUAAUGGUAUUAUACCAUCAUAUGACACUUGGUUUUGUCAUGGGGAGUCAAUUAAUGUGCUAAAUCGCAAUGAGGAAACUAAUUGUAGAGAAGAAGCUUUUAGAGGUGAUGAUAUGGUAGGAUUGAUACAUGAUGCUUUUGAAGGCUUUAAUCAAUCCAUGGGUAAUAACAUUAGUGAUGGAGGUGAUAUUGAGUCAAACUUGGAUGAAAUUCUUACUCAUACAUCAAGCAAUCAAUCUCAUCUAGAGGUGGAGAAGUUUGAACAGUUAAUGAGAGAUGCAAAUGAAGAACUGUACAGUGGUUGCAAGAAAUUCAGCAAACUUUCUUUUGUUUUACAUCUUUACCAUAUAAAAUGUGUACCUUUUCAUUGCUUUAUUCAUUUUAACUAGUAUGCUAGUACUAUAAGCAUUUUCUUUGUGGCCUCAUGAUAAGUGUGACUAUUGACUACAUUUAUUGCCUCUGGAAUUGUUUUUCAGGACUUGUCUAAUCCUUUCUUUACCAAGGUAAUCCAAGGUCUGUAAUUAGACUGUGCAUGUUCAUAUGAUUUUUAAUUAGUCAAGCUGAUAGUACUCAACUGUUCUGUAAGCAGCAAUUCAUUUUUAUUAGCAAUAUCACUUGUAGCAAGCCUGAUGUUAUUUUUCUUUAAUAAAUUAUACUGUUUCAAAGGAAUAUAAAAUUGAUUCACGGGGUUUUGGUAAGACAGAAGACAUAGCUAUUGUCAUGUUUAUUUUUGAUUCAGUGGAACUUAUUCAUGCAUUGGUAAUGAGUUGAGGUAACUCAUGGCUAUAAUGCAAUAGCUGGCAACAAGGUUAUAAUGCAAUCUCUGAGCUGAUCCAUGUCCAAGUAUUGAGGGGCAUGUUGGUCUGGCAAGUUGACAUGUUCUAUUUGCUGCCAUGCACAGGGGCCUCAUGAACACACUGUUUAGUUACUGAUGUGAAGGUAGCGAGUUUUGUUUUUCUAUUAAGUAGAGAUUUGACAUUAGUGGGGUGGGGAUAGUGGCUUUCCCCGUUUGAUAUUUUAGGAAACUUCUGAAACAAAUUUGUUGUGUUGGGUCUGAUGUACAAAAAUGACUGCUGCCAUUUACUGGUAUGAUCCACCAGGACCUUUUCUAAAAAAAACAAGGUUAUUUAUUUGCUAUGGGGAAGACUCUAAUUCUCUUUAAAUGAGAGUUGUCCGUACAUAAACUCCCCCUGCUAAUCCUAAUUUUUAAGGGUGUUUUGAUUGAGUCUUCAAUUGCUGAUUUGGUUGUGUUGUUACCUGACUAAUAACUCAUUGUUUCUGGUUCUUGGCUUGUGCAGGUGCUGAUUUUUGUGAUGUGUGUUGAUUUGCUUUUAGACUUGUUUGAUGUUGCUGGAGUGGAAUCUCACCAGAUGAGGACGGGUCAUGAUCCUGAUUUCUAUGAUGUGUGCUGCUUUGUUUUGCUUAAUUUUUUCCUCAGGACUUAUUGUUUCCCUUUGUAUUCUCCUUGUUUUUCUUGUCUGUUUCCUUUUUUUACCUAUCUCUGAGUAGGUUGUUCUCAGACUAGUCUUUUUAAAUACAUUAUUCUCUUUUUGGGAAAAAAAAACUCAUGAAGAUGUAUCACUAAGAUGUACUUGAUAUUUUAGUAGGGAUUUAAGACCUACAAUGGUUUAUUUGUAAAAAAAUUCAAUUAAAAUUUUAUUUUCAUAGUAAUAGAAAA